GACGAACGCUGGCGGCGUGCUUAACACAUGCAAGUCGAGCGGUAAGGCCCCUUCGGGGGUACACGCGCGGCGAACGGGCGAGUAACACGCGGGUGACCUGCCUUCAGCUCUGGGAUAAGUCUGGGAAACAGGGUCUAAUACAGGCCAUGAACUUUCCUCGCAUGGGGUUUGGGGGAAAGUUUUUUUGGCUGGGGAGGGGCGCGCGCCCUAUCUGUUUGUUGGUGGGGUGAUGGCCAACCAAGGCGGCGACGGGAGGCCGGCCGGGGAGGGCGACCGGCCACGCUCGGAGUGAGGCCCGACCCUGACUCGUGCGGGAGGCGGCGGUGAGGUAUCUUGCGGGGUGGACGCAUGCCUGACGCAGCGACGCUGCGUGGUGACGGCCGGCGUUCUGGUUGUAAACCUCUUUCGACCCCGACGGAUUUUGACGGUAGGGGUAGAAGAAGCACCGGCCAACUACGUG
rnacentral:rRNA from 1 species